ensembl:lncRNA
UGGAAAGAAGCCUGUUAAUAUUUCUUGUCACAGAAGCUAUAGUUUGCAAACUGGGAUACACCCCUUGAGCGGCUUCCCUGGUGGUAAAGAAUCUGCCUGCGAAUGCAGGAGACACAGGUUUAAUCCCUGGAUCAGGAAGACCCUUUGAAGGGAAUGACAACCCACUCCAGUGUUUUUGCCUAGGAAAUCCCAUGGACAGAGAGAGGGCCCUGGAGGUCUACAAUCCAUGGGGUGGCAAAAGAGUCAGACACGACUUAGUGACUAACCACUACCACCAGCCCCCCAGAGUAUGGUAAAAUAUUUCCAAAUGUUAUGCGCGUAUGCUUCUAGGAAAAUUCACAGAAUUCACCUUCCAUGUAUAUACUGCUUAACUGUGAUCCUGCCUAGAAAGAACUUGUGAACAGGGUGCAGCUUUUCCUUUCCUUCAUUUUGCAGGGAACCCUUCUCCCAUGUAUAAAAUGAGCAGCACAUACCUUUAACCUUCUAGUCUUAUGAUGAUACAUCCAACUAAGGUGUUCAGACCUAUGGAGCUAAAGGAGUUUGAGAUAUUGUUGUCAGUGAUGCAGUGUUCCGCUGUUCACACACGGACAAUGGGUUUCUAUGAAGCUGGGAAAGAAGUAUGCUCCAGGUGUUCGAAGAGCAGGUAGGGAGUCCAGGUAUGAAAUUCCAAGCGUAGCUGGUGAGUGUGAGGAGGGGGGUGUUGGGGGCUGGAAGUGGGAGCAGGGCUUCCUGCAGGCCUUGAAAUGCUUUCAUAUAAAUCAGGUAUUUCUGUGUGAACAGUGGCUCAACUAGCAGCAGAGUUGUGUAUGUACAAAUUAGAGUUUCAUCAUUAUUUUGAAAUACUUGUAGUGAAAAAAAUCACUUGAAUUUGAAAAUUACAUUACGUAAGAAA